GUCGAACGGUAGAGGGGGCAACCCCUCGAGAGUGGCGAACGGGUGAGUAAUAUAUCGGAACGUGCCCAGUCGUGGGGGAUAACGUAGCGAAAGUUACGCUAAUACCGCAUACGAUCUACGGAUGAAAGCGGGGGACUCGCAAGAGCCUCGCGCGAUUGGAGCGGCCGAUAUCAGAUUAGGUAGUUGGUGGGGUAAAGGCUCACCAAGCCAACGAUCUGUAGCUGGUCUGAGAGGACGACCAGCCACACUGGAACUGAGACACGGUCCAGACUCCUACGGGAGGCAGCAGUGGGGAAUUUUGGACAAUGGACGCAAGUCUGAUCCAGCCAUUCCGCGUGCAGGAUGAAGGCCCUCGGGUUGUAAACUGCUUUUGUACGGAACGAAAAGGUUUCUAUUAAUACUAGGAGCUCAUGACGGUACCGUAAGAAUAAGCACCGGCUAACUACGUGCCAGCAGCCGCGGUAAUACGUAGGGUGCAAGCGUUAAUCGGAAUUACUGGGCGUAAAGCGUGCGCAGGCGGUUAUGUAAGACAGAGGUGAAAUCCCCGGGCUCAACCUGGGAACUGCCUUUGUGACUGCAUAGCUAGAGUACGGUAGAGGGGGAUGGAAUUCCGCGUGUAGCAGUGAAAUGCGUAGAUAUGCGGAGGAACACCGAUGGCGAAGGCAAUCCCCUGGACCUGUACUGACGCUCAUGCACGAAAGCGUGGGGAGCAAACAGGAUUAGAUACCCUGGUAGUCCACGCCCUAUACG
rnacentral:rRNA from 1 species